rnacentral:tRNA from 1 species
CCCUGGUUAGCUCAAUUGGUAGAGCGCUCCACCUGUAAUGGAGAGGUCCCGGGUUCGAUACCCGGACCAGCCG